rnacentral:lncRNA from 1 species
UUAAACUACACUUACUUCUCACAGUUCUGGAGGCUGGGAAGUCCAAGAUUAAGAUGCAGAUUCAGUGUCUGGUAGGGACCAGCUUACCAGUUUAUAGACUGUGGUCUUCUGACUAUGUCCUUACAUUGCAGAAAGGGGUGAAAGAGCUCUCUGGGUCUCUUUUAUAAGGGCACUAAUCUUAUUCAUGAGGACUCUGUCGUCAUGACAUAAUCACCUCCCCAAAGCCACACCUCCCAAUGCAGCACAUUGAGGGUUAGGAUUUCAACAUAUGAAUUUUGGGGGGACACAAAUAUUCAGUCCAUAGUAGUGACAUAGAAGCAUUAAAUUAAUAGGUUUCCUUUAGUGCAAGGAUAACAUCCUGAAAAUAAUAAUUAAUUUAAAAGUUAAAAUGAAUAACAAAUGGAAUGAAACACACACAGACAUUUAAAUGUACCCUGAGGAAUGCCCUUUUAUAUUACCAUAUUAAGAGUGUCGAGAGAGAGAGAGAAAGAGAGAGAGAGAGCUUUACCUGUGGGUGUAUAGUAAUUUUGGGUAGUUAAGCAGCACCCUUCUUUUGAGUUGCUCACAAUGCUUUAUAGCAUUCACUUCAAUUGUGACAACACUCCUGUGGGUGGCAGGCAUUGUACUAAAAGUGCGGUACAGCUGCAGGUCAGACAACCCAGGGGCACACAGUUUUCACAUGAACAGUUUAUAGCACAGGUGGGUGCCGAGCCCACAGGGUCGGUCCAGUCAUGCCUCAUCCACAUCUGACCAAGGUGGCAUCUUCUUGGACUGAUGAGCUCUCGAAUGAAUAACAGUUUUGAGUUCCCAUUAUUCUGGGUUUCCCAAGUGUGCGUGCCAUAUCUGAAACAGAUGGUCAGUAUUACAGGAUGAUGACGGUUUUUAAUGGUAAUAG